rnacentral:rRNA from 1 species
UACAGAGGUCUCAAGCGUUGUUCGGAUUCAUUGGGCGUAAAGGGUGCGUAGGCGGCGCGGUAAGUCGGGUGUGAAAUCUCGGGGCUUAACUCCGAAACUGCAUUCGAUACUGCCGUGCUUGAGGACUGGAGAGGAGACUGGAAUUUACGGUGUAGCGGUGAAAUGCGUAGAUAUCGUAAGGAAGACCAGUGGCGAAGGCGGGUCUCUGGGCAGUUCCUGACGCUGAGGCACGAAGGCCAGGGGAGCAAACGGG